AGAACGAACGCUGGCGGCGCGUUUAAGCAUGCAAGUCGAGCGGCAAGGGCCUUCGGGCCCCUAGAGCGGCGGACGGGUGAGUAACACGUGGACAAUCUGCCCCCCGGCCCGGGAUAGCCCAGGGAAACCUGGAUUAAUACCGGAUGAGACGGGACCCGCGAUGGCGGGACCCGGGAAAGGCGCUGCGGCGCCGCCGGGGGAUGAGUCUGCGUCCCAUUAGCUAGACGGCGGGGUAACGGCCCACCGUGGCGACGAUGGGUAGCCGGCCUGAGAGGGUGGACGGCCACAUUGGAACUGAGACACGGUCCAGACUCCUACGGGAGGCAGCAGCUAAGAAUCUUCCGCAAUGGGCGAAAGCCUGACGGAGCCGACGCCGCGUGAACGAAGAAGGCCGUGAGGUUGUAAAGUUCUUUUCGGGAGGGGGAACAACCGUGGCAGGGAAUGGCCGCGGGAUGACGUGAAUCCCGGAAUAAGCCCCGGCUAACUACGUGCCAGCCGCGGC
rnacentral:rRNA from 1 species